rnacentral:rRNA from 1 species
UACGAAGGGUGCGAGCGUUAUUCGGAAUCACUGGGCGUAAAGGGUGCGUAGACGGUACAUUAAGUUUGUUGUUAAAGACUCUAGCCUAACUGGAGGGUUGCAAUGAAGACUGGUGAGCUAGAGGGUGAGAGAGAGAAGUGGAAUUCCCGGAGUAGCGGUAAAAUGCGUGGAUCUCGGGAGGAACACCAAUGGCGAAGGCAGCUUCUUGGCUCAUUCCUGACGUUGAGGCACGAAAGCGUGGGGAGCAAACAGG